AAGGCCCGUGUCCAUGCAGCAGGUAGAAGCUGAAACUUUUGACUUCCUGAGAGCAGCAGCACAGAUUGCAGGCUGGUUAACGGCAGCUCGACAACCAAAUAUGUCUUUUGGAUUCUGUGUGAGGGUGCUUGUUCUCUCCCUUUUGGCUUUUGGGCAAAAUGCAAAUGCGCUCAGCAGCAAAAGCGGAGGCACCAGUCGCACAAGGCCUCUCUUUGCUUAUCCAAGAAGUCAUAACCCUGCCUUUGUGCCACAAUAUGAGCGUUCGGUGCAGCCUGGAGGAUUUCUGGGUACUUCUGGAUCAAGUGAAAAUGUGAAAGUAGAUGGUUACAGUCCCGAUGGAAGUGUUUUUAGUUCCUUGCCUCGCUCACAGAUCCUUAGGAAAUUCACAAAGAUCUCUCAGCAGCCACCUCAAACUAACACUAAUGGUGUAUUGUGGACCAAAGGUGGAAACAUUGAUUUGGUCCCUCAACCAACAGGAUAUAUCAUUAAGUCUGGUAUCGCUUCAAGUAGUGCAAUUGUUAUACAAUCUGAACCUCAUCCUCGUGCUUUCAAGCCAGGCAACCAACAAAAAUGGCCCCAGACCCGGGAUCUGCCCACUUUCAAUAUGGCAUACCCGUCCAAGCCCCAGCAGCCGCGCUCUUUCAGUUCACUCUACCCUCAGAAGCCACCCAUGCCCCAGGAGUUGCUCACUUCAAAUACUGGUUAUCCUCAGAAGCAACCUAGCCCCCAGGAGCUGCCCACUUUCAAUAUGGCAUACCCGUCCAAGCCCCAGCAGCCGCGCUCUUUCAGUUCACUCUACCCUCAGAAGCCACCCAUGCCCCAGGAGUUGCUCACUUCAAAUACUGGUUAUCCUCAGAAGCAACCUAGCCCCCAGGAGCUGCCCACUUUCAAUAUGGCAUACCCGUCCAAGCCCCAGCAGCCGCGCUCUUUCAUUUUGGGCUACCCUCAGAAGCCAGCUAGGCUGCAGGAGCUGUCCACUUCCAAUAUAGCCUACCAGUCCAAGCCCCAGCAGCCACGCUCUUUCAGUUCACUCUACCCUCAGAAGCCACCCAUGCCCCAGGAGUUGCUCACUUCAAAUACUGGUUAUCCUCAGAAGCAACCUAGCCCCCAGGAGCUGCCCACUUUCAAUAUGGCAUACCCGUCCAAGCCCCAGCAGCCGCGCUCUUUCAUUUUGGGCUACCCUCAGAAGCCAGCUAGGCUGCAGGAGCUGUCCACUUCCAAUAUAGCCUACCAGUCCAAGCCCCAGCAGCCACGCUCUUUCAGUUCACUCUACCCUCAGAAGCCACCCAUGCCCCAGGAGUUGCUCACUUCAAAUACUGGUUAUCCUCAGAAGCAACCUAGCCCCCAGGAGCUGCCCACUUUCAAUAUGGCAUACCCGUCCAAGCCCCAGCAGCCGCGCUCUUUCAUUUUGGGCUACCCAUAGAAGCCAGCUAUGCCCCAGGAGCUGCCUACUUCAAAUACUGGCUACCCUCAGAAGCCACCUAGCCCCCAGGAGCUGCCCAUUUCCAAUAUGGCCUACAAGUCAAAGCCCCAGCAGCCACGCUCUUUCAGUUCAGGCUACCCUCCGAAGCCGCCUAUUUCCCAGGAGCUGCCCACUUCCAAUACUGGCUACCCUCAGAAGCCACCUAGGCCACAGGAGCUGCCCACUAUCAUAAGUGGCUACCAGUCCAAGCCCCAGCAGCCACGCACUUUCGGUACGGGCUACCCUGUGAUGCCAUCCGGUCCCCACGAGCUGCCCACUUUCAAUUCUGCCUACCUGCAGAAGUCACCAAAGCCCCAGGAGCAGCCCACCUUCAACACUGGCUACCUUCAAAAACCUCCCAGGCCACAACACUCACCUUCUUUCAGUCCUGGCUACCAACCAAAUGACCCCAAGCCCCAGGAAGGGGUGUUUCAAACCAAAGAUGGUAUGUGGGACUUGGUUUCAGGUUCUAUUGUGCAGCCGUUCAACUCAAAUGUUGCUGCAAUAAGUUUUUGACCCAUUGGCAUCUCGGGGGGGUUAAACCUGGUAGCAGCACCACAGUUCCUGAACUUAUGAAAGCAGUCUGCCCUGGCAUCAACCUUUUUUAUGAAAUUCAAUAAAGUACUUUGAACUGCACGUUCUGCCAUGAAGGGUCCUUUA